rnacentral:lncRNA from 1 species
AAAUUAAAAAUAAGACAAGUCAUGGAUUGACAUUAAUAUAAUUUGCCCACAUCACUUCAGCAAUUUGAUCUCUACAAGCUGCCAUAGCUGCUGCACUCUCAUAUGAUAAAUCAAUUGAAUGGUUUCUGCUACUUGUGCUCUCUUCUUCACCUUCGAUUGAAAGGUCUUCUACCUCAUAUUCUCUAAACAAUUGAUCAUUUUGAGUUGAUAGACGAAUCCAAUUAUGAAGGGUACAACAUGCAACAACAAUUGAUGGUUGCCUACUUGGCGCUUAUAACAAGGCAUCAUCCUUAAUAUUGGAAAUUGGGUCUUUAAAACACCAAAACAUCUUUCAAUAAUAUUCCGAAGAAAUGAAUGUCUAUAAUUAAAAAGUUCUUUAUACCUGAUAGGUUGAUUACGUCUACCCCGAUAUUCUUGUAAAUGAUACCGCUCACCUCGAUAUGGUGGCAAAAAUCUAGAUAUACAAGGAUAACCAGAAUCAACUACAUAAUAUUUUCCUUCACUUGGCCAAGGAAAAUUGACUUCUGGUCUAGUCAAUGCAUCUAAAAAGACACGUGCAUCGUUUGCUAUUCCUUCCCAACCAGCAUAAACAAAUGUAAACAUCAUGUCAAAAUUACAUGCACACAUAACAUUUUGUGUUAUAACUGUUUUUCUACCUCUAAAACUGGUUUGUCUAUCAGCUGGGACCCAUGCACUAAUAUGAGUGCCAUCAAUUGCACCAAUACAGUCCUACAACAACAAACAUUUAUUAUUAUUAAGGAAAUAAAUUAAAUAAUCGUCAUGAAAUUCACAUUUAUAAAUAUUUUUUUAUAAACUCUUACCUUAAACCAUGGAAAAUAUUUAGGAUUACUAGCAACAUAUGAAGACACCUCAUUGGUCAUAUUGUUAGGACAUAUGAGAAUUUUGCCAAGUCGACAUAAUGCACGUCUAACUUCUUUAAAGUGUCGAGCGACAGUCUCUGUGGAGUGUUGAAAACGGUAUGCUACAACCCUCAUUCUCACAUUAUGUCCUACGAUUAGUAAGAACAUAGCCACUGCCUCUUCAACUGUGACAAAUCGUGUAUCCUGUAAGUUUUCAUGUCUCUUAAGAUGAUCACAAAGGUUCAUAAAUGUUUCUUUAUCCAUCCGAAAUAGUUCAUAGCAUGUCUGAGGAUGACCUUCUAUCAUAUCUCUUACAAAUUGUGCACCACUUAACAUUGAUGUCCUUUGAGUGUCUUGCAUAAAAAUAUUUCCUCAUACUCAUUCAUAAUGUGAGCAAUAAAAAUUUCAUCUAAAUCAUCACCCUCUUCAGAAGAUGAAGUUGACUCAUAUAGUUCACCACUGCUUGUGUUAUUAUCAUCCAUUGGUUACUACAUAAAACAAAUGAACUCACAAUAUAAAAUAACACGAAAUGAAUAUUAAAGUAGUUAUAAUAUAAGUUUCAUAACCAUAAAUAACAUCCAUACAAUGACAAACUAAAGAGCAUGGUAAAAGAUUCUAACCAAAAGAUAAAUAGUACAUAUUACAAUGUCAUCAUAAUAGUUAUGCAUCCAAACAUUCACAUUUAAAGUCUAUCAAGCCAUGCCAUUUUCCUCUCAUCAGGCAUAUUCAUAAAUAUCUCUCUCCAAUCCGGCACUGUGAAUUUCUCAACAGCUUUUAAAUAUUUGUCAUUAUCUAACAGUUCAAUGGUUUGUAAGGCUGCCAUGCACCUUGUUAUGCUAAAAUCAGUGGUACCUCCACUAGUAGCUUCACUACUAGUUCCACUCUUAUAUCUGUCCACUCUAGCCAAUAAUGCCUCAGUUCUAGCUCGAGAUGUUUCUGUUCUAGCCUUUGAUGCCUCAACCCAAGCUUUCAAAGCAUCUCCCAUUUGACUUAAUCUGGAUUCUUUCUUACCUUUACGCUCUAAUAGAGAAUCAGUUACACGCUUUCCAGAACGGGUGGUCACUCCUCCUGCCAUUUCUGGUUGUGGAGGAUCAUCAGGGAUCUCAGUAUCUACAUCCACAUGCACUCCACCAUGUUCCAAAUUGUCAUCCAUCUCAUCUUCAUCAUCAGUGUUUGGUGGAUCUUGGGUGGAAGAGUAGUGGAGGGCAUUGGUUGCUGUUGAUGGAUUAAAGAUCAAUCCCAACAAGUUGUAGUUUGGGCAUCCCUUUGAGUGGAAUCUUUUUGCAUUUGGGUGUGCCUAAUAGAAGGAAAAAAAAAAAUUCACUCUUAGUGUUUACCAAAUAUUUAAAUUAAAAAGUAAUUAGUUUAAAAGUUAUUUUUACCCGAAUGUAAUUUUGCCAGGUUUCCUCUAGAGCAUGCACUGUGUUAGUUUCAGCAUCUCAACCAAAUCCAGUAUGCUUUAAAAGAUCAGAGAACUCACGGCGCAUUGCACGUAGUCUAUUAAACUUUUGUUUAAGCUGCUUCAAGUUGAAAUUUCUUUUCCCUUGACUAUUGACCUCAAGUAAGAUCCUUCUCCAUGUGUUGGUAUUAAAUGUACCACUAUCCAUGUUACCUUUAUUAACUUCAUUUACCAUGAUGUCAAUAAAGAUUUUCUCUAUAUUACCUCUCCAUGUUCCUGCAUCCUCAACAUCUGUUAUCUUAGUUGUCAUCUGUACAAUCCCAUCACAAAUAAGAACUCUAUGAGAAGACAACUUUUAAAACCACCAAUAGAACUUAAGGCUAUGUUUAAAUGAGAAUUAAGAUUGUUGACGUAUAGUGUAGUGUAUAAAAAUAUGAAAGAAAAAUAAAUAAAAAUAAAAAUAGAUUUGAUAUUAAUUAGAUUUUAAAGACUUUUUUUUUAGUUUUUAUAAAAUUUGAAACAAAAAUUGGGGGAAAAAAAAAUGAAAGAAAAGUAAGUUUGAUUAAUUUUAUAUUUGAUUAAUUUUAAAAUUAAAAUAUUUUUUUAUAUAUUUUAAAAAUAAAUCAAACAUGAUAAAAUCAUUUUUAUUAUUUUUUAUUGAUUUAAUAUUUAAUUUUAUUAAAAAUUAUAGUAUAUUCUAUUAAGAUGAGAUAAAAAAUUUAAAAAGAAUUAAUUUAAUAUUUAUAACUAAUCUAAAUAAAAUAAAUAAGACAUCAAAAUAAUUUAAUAUUUUAAAAAGUUUGAUUUCAAUAAUUUUGAUUUCAAUAAUGUUAAAAAAUUAAUUUUUUAAUGUUUGAUUUACUACAAAAAUAUACAAUUAAAAUUAAUUAAAAUUUAUAUAUUUUAAAUUAUAUAAUCAUAUGAAAAAAUAAAAAUAAGUUUGAAGUAGUAUAUAGAAAAUAAUUUAAUAAUUUUGAUUUUAUUUUUUACUUUAUUAUAAUUUUUUAAUUAUUUUUGCUUUCAUGAAAUCGGAAAGUGGGAAGAAGGGAAGAAGUAGCUUUGCUUGGGCACCAUAGCAUUUCUAAAUCAGACAAGUAUACAAACAAGCAACAAAAAAAUAGGAAAAAUGGAUUAUGAAGGAUGUUUGGUGAGGUGUGGGAAUUUGGAAUUUAUAAAGGGUAGGUUCAAAGUUCAAACACGUGGAGGGUACUGUUGCUUCACGCUGCAUUCAACCCCCAACUCUUAAGGUCUGUUUGUUUAGUGCAGCAUCCAAACAGGCCCAAAGAGUAGAGGUUAACCGGGCUUUGGAGUCUGGAUGAGAGAGAGGAAGAGCAGAUCAAUAGAGAGAAAAGGUUCUUGGUGAUUCAACACCUCAUCCUCUUUUGAUUCUCUUUAUUUUUUCCAUUUUCCUUGAGGUAUUUCACCUGUCAAGACUCAAGCUUGGAUUUUCCCGUUUGAUUUCCAUGUCUUUAAGUAAGGUUUUUGUUUUUUUUUUUAAUAGAACAACUCAACAAAAAUCAAAACGGGAAAAAAUCAGGAAUUUUUGGGCUUAUUUUCAUUCUCGUUCCCCACUUUUCUCAGCAUCCAAACAGGAAAAUAUAAAUGAAAAAAAAAAAACUAAAAGGUGAUAAAAAAAAGCUCAGAUCUCAUUCUAUUUUCAUUCUCAUUUCCUACUUUUCUCAGCAUCCAAACAGGAAAAUAUAAACGGGAAAAAAAGAAACUAACAGCAGGUGAUAAAAAAAAAAAUUCGAAUAACAUAACUGAUAUCUUUUUAUCAGAUCUAACAUUUCCCUCAACAAAUAUUGCCAAAAAAAACCUAUUUUAUUAGAUCUAUAAAAAAUAACUUCAACAUCUGUGGAAAUUACCUUUGUUUCUUGCUGGAGAUGUCGCGACUGUGCUGGAGAAGAGGCGACGCGACUGUGCUGGAGAGAGAUGAGAACGGGAAGAAAAAAAAAAACACGGAGAACAGAUGUGUUUUUUGUUCUUUAAUUUUGUUCUAUAAACAGUACAAAAACGGGGAAAACAACAUUUUGUUGUUCUCUAAAUAGUGCCAUUUUGAGAACACGGGGAACAACAAAAACAAAAAUGACUCU